rnacentral:tRNA from 1 species
CGGAAGUAGUUCAGUGGUAGAACACCACCUUGCCAAGGUGGGGGUCGCGGGUUCGAAUCCCGUCUUCCGCUCCAA